AGCAGCCGCGGUAAUUCCAGCUCCAAUAGCGUAUAUUAAAGUUGUUGCAGUUAAAAAGCUCGUAGUUGAAUUUCGGGGUUAGUAGGUUGGUCAUGCCUCUGGUAUGUACUGGUCUCACUGAUUCCUCCUUCCUGAUGAGCCGUAAUGCCAUUAAUUUGGUGUUGCGGGGAAUUUGGACUGUUACUUUGAAAAAAUUAGAGUGUUUAAAGCAAGCUAACGCUUGAAUACAUUAGCAUGGAAUAAUGAAAUAGGACGUUCGAUCCUAUUUUGUUGGUUUCUAGGAUUGACGUAAUGAUUAAUAGGGAUAGUUGGGGGCAUUAGUAUUCAAUUGUCAGAGGUGAAAUUCUUGGAUUUAUUGAAGACUAACUACUGCGAAAGCAUUUGCCAAGGAUGUUUUCACUAAUCAAGAACGAAAGUUAGGGGAUCGAAGACGAUCAGAUACCGUCGUAGUCUUAACCAUAAACUAUGCCGACUAGGGAUCGGAUGAUGUUAAUUUUUUAAUGACUCAUUCGGCGCCUUA
rnacentral:rRNA from 1 species